rnacentral:rRNA from 1 species
AGUGAACGCUGGCGGUAGGCCUAACACAUGCAAGUCGAACGGCAGCACAGUAAGAGCUUGCUCUUACGGGUGGCGAGUGGCGGACGGGUGAGGAAUACAUCGGAAUCUACUUUUUCGUGGGGGAUAACGUAGGGAAACUUACGCUAAUACCGCAUACGACCUACGGGUGAAAGCAGUGGAUCUUCGGACCUUGCGCGAUUGAAUGAGCCGAUGUCGGAUUAGCUAGUUGGCGGGGUAAAGGCCCAGCAAGGCGACGAUCCGUAGCUGGUCUGAGAGGAUGAUCGGCCACACUGGAACUGAGACACGGUCCAGACGCCUAAGGGAGGCAGCAGUGGGGAAUAUUGGACAAAGGGCGCGAGCCUGACCCAGCCAUACCGCGUGGGUGAAGAAGGCCUUCGGGUUGUAAAGACCUUUUGUUGGGAAAGAAAAGCAGCAGGUUAAUACCCCGCUGUUCUGACGGUACCCAAAGAAUAAGCACCGGCUAACUUCGUG